rnacentral:rRNA from 1 species
UACGUAGGGGGCGAGCGUUGUCCGGAAUCAUUGGGCGUAAAGCGCGUGUAGGCGGCCCGGUAAGUCCGCUGUGAAAGUCCAGGGCUCAACCCUGGGAUGCCGGUGGAUACUGUCGGGCUCGAGUCCGGAAGAGGCGAGUGGAAUUCCUGGUGUAGCGGUGAAAUGCGCAGAUAUCAGGAGGAACACCAGCGGCGAAGGCGGCGCUCUGGGCCGGAACUGACGCUGAGGAGCGAAAGCGUGGGUAGCAAACAGG